rnacentral:rRNA from 1 species
GGGUGCGAUCAUACCAGUGUUAAUGCAAUGGAUCCCAUCAGAACUCCGCAGUUAAGUGCGCUUGGGCUAGAGUAGUACUGGGAUGGGUGACCUACUGGGAAGUCCCGGUGUUUCACCCU